AUCGCUGAAAAAUCGAAAUAAAAUGUUUUGUUGUUUUUAUAUUUCUUUGACAUUCCCAGUUCUAGCUAUAUGGGUGUUAUCACCAAUUAUAUUAAAUUAUUAUGAAAUGUAUAUACAAGAUUCGACUGACUUUGUCCGUAAGAAUGUUAUCAAUUUUUAUUAUCCCGUAUCCGAAAAAACGUACGCAAAAUUGUUUUACUUUUUUUACAUAAAUGAAACAUUAAUCGGAUUUUUCGUAUUAUAUUUUACGUGGAUGUUUGAUUUUUAUUUUUUCUCUUCGUGCUGGGCAAUAGCUACUCAAUAUGACACUAUAGCAACAGGAUUGAUGUCGUUCGGACACAACAUGAACAAAAUAAAGGAGCAAAAUCAAAUGUACGAAGACUUGAAAUUAAUCAUUUCGGAUUGUCAAAGGUUGCAUUUGUAUACGAAAGAAUUUUACACCGUAGUCCGACGCAUAGCAUUACUACAGAUUGUUGUUUGUUCCUGUUCGCUGAUAACUGGCUGUUUUAUCAUAUCAUUG